GCCUUCGUGGUGUAAUGGUCAGCACACUGAGCCGGUAUUUCAGAGGUCCGCGGUUCGAUUCCCGGCGAAGGUA
rfam:Stegodyphus mimosarum contig48000, whole genome shotgun sequence.